rnacentral:rRNA from 1 species
UACGUAGGGUGGGCGAGCGUUUGUCCGGAAUUAUUGGCGUAAAGAGCUUGUAGGCGGUUUGUCGCGUCUGCCUGUGAAAAUCCGGGGCUCAACCCCGGACUUGCAGUGGGUACGGGCAGACUAGAGUGUGGUAGGGGAGACUGGAAUUCCUGGUGUAGCGGUGAAAUGCGCAGAUAUCAGGAGGAACACCGAUGGCGAAGGCAGGUCUCCUGGGCAUUAACUGACGCUGAGGAGCGAAAGCAUGGGGAGCGAACAGG